rnacentral:rRNA from 1 species
GACUACUGGGGUAUCUAAUCCCGUUUGCUCCCCUGGCUUUCGCGCCUCAGCGUCAAUGUCGGUCCAGGAUGCCGCCUUCGCCACCGGUGUUCCUCCAGAUAUCUACGCAUUUCACCGCUACACCUGGAAUUCCGCAUCCCUCUCCCGAAUUCAAGCCUUCCAGUCUCAGACGCAGUUCCACGGUUGAGCCGUGGGAUUUCACGUAUGACUUAGUAGGCCGCCUACGCGCCCUUUACGCCCAGUAAUUCCGAACAACGCUUGCCCCCUCUGUAUUACCGCGGCUGCUGGCACAGAGUUAGCCGGGGCUUCCUCACGUGGUACCGUCAAACCCCAUGGCUGUUCACCACGAGGUCGUUCUUCCCACACGACAGGGGUUUACAAUCCGAAGACCUUCAUCCCCCACGCGGCGUUGCGUCGUCAGGCUUUCGCCCAUUGCGAAAAAUUCCCCACUGCAGCCACCCGUAGG